CAGUCGCCGCGGGAAUACGUAGGUGGCAAGCGUUGUCCGGAAUUAUUGGGCGUAAGGGGCUCGCAGGCGGUUUCUUAAGUCUGAUGUGGAAGCCCCCGGCUCAACCGGGGAGGGUCAUUGGAAACUGGGAAACUUGAGUGCAGAAGAGGAGAGUGGAAUUCCACGUGUAGCGGUGAAAUGCGUAGAGAUGUGGAGGAACACCAGUGGCGAAGGCGACUCUCUGGUCUGUAACUGACGUUGAGGAGCGAAAGCGUGGGGAGCGAACAGGAUUAGAUACCCCCGUAGUCCCUGUCUCUUAUAC
rnacentral:rRNA from 1 species